rnacentral:rRNA from 1 species
GGGGGGGCAUGCUUAACAUGCAGUCGAACGGCAGCACGGGUGCUUGCACCUGGUGGCGAGUGGCGAACGGGUGAGUAAUACAUCGGAACAUGUCCUGUAGUGGGGGAUAGCCCGGCGAAAGCCGGAUUAAUACCGCAUACGAUCUACGGAUGAAAGCGGGGGACCUUCGGGCCUCGCGCUAUAGGGUUGGCCGAUGGCUGAUUAGCUAGUUGGUGGGGUAAAGGCCUACCAAGGCGACGAUCAGUAGCUGGUCUGAGAGGACGACCAGCCACACUGGGACUGAGACACGGCCCAGACUCCUACGGGAGGCAGCAGUGGGGAAUUUUGGACAAUGGGCGAAAGCCUGAUCCAGCAAUGCCGCGUGUGUGAAGAAGGCCUUCGGGUUGUAAAGCACUUUUGUCCGGAAAGAAAUCCUUGGCUCUAAUACAGUCGGGGGAUGACGGUACCGGAAGAAUAAGCACCGGCUAACUACGUGCCAGCAGCCGCGGUAAUACGUAGGGUGCGAGCGUUAAUCGGAAUUACUGGGCGUAAAGCGUGCGCAGGCGGUUUGCUAAGACCGAUGUGAAAUCCCCGGGCUCAACCUGGGAACUGCAUUGGUGACUGGCAGGCUAGAGUAUGGCAGAGGGGGGUAGAAUUCCACGUGUAGCAGUGAAAUGCGUAGAGAUGUGGAGGAAUACCGAUGGCGAAGGCAGCCCCCUGGGCCAAUACUGACGCUCAUGCACGAAAGCGUGGGGAGCAAACAGGAUUAGAUACCCUGGUAGUCCACGCCCUAAACGAUGUCAACUAGUUGUUGGGGAUUCAUUUCCUUAGUAACGUAGCUAACGCGUGAAGUUGACCGCCUGGGGAGUACGGUCGCAAGAUUAAAACUCAAAGGAAUUGACGGGGACCGCACAAGCGGUGGAUGAUGUGGAUUAAUUCGAUGCAACGCGAAAAACCUUACCUACCCUUGACAUGGUCGGAAUCCCGCUGAGAGGGGGGAGUGCUCGAAAGAGAACCGGCGCCCAGGUGCUGCAUGGUUGUCGUCAGCUCGUGUCGGGAGAUGUUGGGUUAAUUCCCCGCAACGAGCGCAACCCUUGUCCUUAUUUGCUACCCAAGAACACUCUAAGGAGAAUGGCCGGUGACAAACCCGGAGGAAAGGGGGGGAUGACGUCA